AUGUGAAAUUCAACCCAGACAAGAUCCAGGCCAAGAUGAACAAAGUACAUUUCAUGGGCCAUGUGAUAACUCCACAGGGUGUGAAAGCAGAUGCUGGCCAGAUACAGGCAGUAGUGAGGUAUCACUCUCGGCUCCUCUCAGACAGCUGUUGAGAAAGGACAUUGCAUUCCAGUGGCAACCAGAACACAACAGGGCACUUUCUGCACUCAAAACAGCACUGACCAACACACCAGUUCUCAGGUGCUGCUGUCAGUCUCUUCUUCAAUGUCAUCUAGAAUGAGCCUUCCGGAUCCCCGCCUCCACCUCGGUCGCAAUCUGCUCCACCCUGGCCCUCC